rnacentral:rRNA from 1 species
GAUGAACGCUGGCGGCGUGCCUAAUACAUGCAAGUCGAGCGAACAGACCAGGAGCUUGCUCCUCUGACGUUAGCGGAGGACGGGUGAGUAACACGUGUAUACCCUACCUAUAAGACUGGUAUAACUUCGGGAAACCGGCGCUAAUACCGGAUAAUCUAUUGAACCGCAUGGUUCAAUAGUGAAAGUCGGUUUUUGUGUCACUUAUAGCUGGAUCCGCGCCGCAUUAGCUAGUUGGUAAGGUAACGGCUUACCAAGGCGACGAUGCGUAGCCGAACGGAGAGAGUGAUAGGCGACCCGGGAGGUGAGACAGGGUCCAGACUCCUACGGGAGGCAGCAGUAGGGAAUCUUACGCAAUGGGGGAGAGCCUGACGGAGCGACGCGGAGUGAGUGAUGAAGGUCUUCGGAUCGGAAAACUCUGUUAUUAGGGGAAAACAAAUGUGUAAGUAACUAUGCAGGUCUUGACGGUACCUGGUCAAGAAGCCACGGCUAACUACGUG